CCUACGGGAGGCAGCAGUAGGGAAUUUUGCGCAAUGGGGGAAACCCUGACGCAGCAACGCCAUGUGUGGGAUGAAGCAUUUCGGUGUGUAAACCACUGUCGGCAGGGAAUAUGUACCUGCAGAGGAAGCCCCGGCUAACUUCGUGCCAGCAGCCGCGGUAAUACGAGGGGGGCAAGUGUUGUUCGGAAUCACUGGGCGUAAAGGGAGCGUAGGCGGAUGCUUAAGUUGGAUGUUUAAAACCGGGGCCCAACCCCGGGGCGGCAUCCAAAACUGGGCGUCUUGAAUGGAACAGAGGCUAGUGGAAUUGGGGGUGUAGCGGUGGAAUGCGUAGAGAUCCCCAAGAACACCAAUUGCGAAGGCAGCUAGCUGGUCACAUUGACGCUGAGGCUCGAAAGCAUGGGGAGCAAACAGGAUUAGAUACCCUUGUAGUC
rnacentral:rRNA from 1 species